UACGGGGGGUGCGAGCGUUGUCCGGAAUCACUGGGCGUAAAGGGCGCGUAGGUGGUUUGAUAAGGGUGUGGUGAAAGUCCGGGGCUCAACCCCGGAUCUGCCGUGCCGACUGUCAAACUCGAGGGCUGUAGAGGCAGACGGAAUUCCGGGUGUAGCGGUGGAAUGCGCAGAUAUCAGGAGGAACACCGGUGGCGAAGGCGGAUCUCUGGGCCUUACCUGACGCUCAGGCGCGAAAGCUAGGGGAGCGAACUGG
rnacentral:rRNA from 1 species